rnacentral:rRNA from 1 species
AGCGAACGCUGGCGGCGUACUUAACACAUGCAAGUCGAACGAGGAUCGCUACGUGAGCAAUCAUGCGGCGGUUCUAGUGGCGUACGGGUGAGUGACACGUGGGCAACCUGCCCUGGAGCCUGGGAUACCCUCUCGAAAGGGAGGCUAAUACCGGAUACGUUCCCCGGGUCGCGAGAUCUGGGGAGGAAAGGUGGCGCAAGCUGCCGCUCUUGGAGGGGCUCGCGGCCUANCAGCUAGUUGGUGAGGUAAUGGCUCACCAAGGCUAUGACGGGUAGCUGGUCUGAGAGGACGACCAGCCAC